GGUACGCGAGCUGGGUUCAGAACCUCGUGAGACAGUUCGGUCCCUAUCUGCCGUGGGCGUUGGAAAUUUGAGAGGAUCUGUUCUUAGUACGAGAGGACCGGAAUGGACAAACCUAUGGUAAUCCUGUUGUCGCGCCAGCGGCAUGGCAGGGUAGCUAAGUUUGGAAUGGAUAACCGCUGAAAGCAUCUAAGGGGGAAGCCAACUUCAAGAUAAG
rnacentral:rRNA from 1 species